rnacentral:rRNA from 1 species
AUGCAAGUCGACCGGUAGCCCAGAGAGCUUGCUCUCGGGUGACGAGUGGCGGACGGGUGAGUAAUGUCUGGGAAACUGCCUGAUGGAGGGGGAUAACUACUGGAAACGGUAGCUAAUACCGCAUAACGUCCCAAGGCCAAAGAGGGGGAUCUUAGGGCCUCUCGCCAUCAGAUCUGCCCAGAUGGGAUUAGCUAGUAGGUGGGGUAACGGCUCACCUAGGCGACGAUCCCUAGCUGGUCUGAGAGGAUGACCAGCCACACUGGAACUGAGACACGGUCCAGACUCCUACGGGAGGCAGCAGUGGGGAAUAUUGCACAAUGGGGGCAAGCCUGAUGCAGCCAUGCCGCGUGUCUGAAGAA